AAGAACUGCUAGGAGACGGACAUUACUGUAGGAAAAGCUCUGCUCCUCUAAUCUCUUCGUACUGAAACAGACUUUCCAGCGGUUAUUCCCGGUAGGAACGGCGAUCGCAACCGUGCCAGAGGUGAUUUUUUUGAGAAGCCAAACUGUUGGCGGCGACCUGAGCGCUGGAAGCCGCAGGGAGGAAAAAGGACACGCGAAGCGCCGGCGGCCGAGCAGGGAGGCCGGCACAAAGGAGGAGGACUCGCGGCGGCAGCGUCUGCCCACGCCGGGGGAAGCACGGCCCGCGGCCCUGCUAGACCGAAGUCCCGCACUGGCGGCUACGAAUAAAGUUUACGUUCUCCUGAGACCGCACUCCCCACCUCCCACCCAGGACCGCGCAUCUCCGCGUCCUCCUCCCCCAAACUGCAAUCGGGACCCCGAGCACCACCCCAGCCUUCCAGCCAGCACAACAAAGAGACACACCGACCGGCGAGGGUAAACAGCCGCGGCCGGGCGGGCAGGGCGGGCAGGGCAAGCGCCUCCAGAUAAGCAACUCCGGAGUCUAACCCACUCGCUGGAGCGCAGUUUCUUCUCUUUUUCGGUUUCAAACGGCUUUACAAUAUUUGGAAUUUUCAUCUUCACCCGCACCCCUCACACCCGAGGAUUUUAAACUCACCUUUACUUUCGAACUGAGAGUUGCGGUGGAUGGGAUUUUUGCCUUCCCCAGAUGGUUAAAGGUUACGAUUUUUGUUUUGGAAACCCCACCACCUCCUUAUUUCUAUUAUUAUUUUUGCAAGAAAAGUAUAAGGAGAGUUGGAGUGGAGGUGAGAUUUGUGAUCGGCAAAGCCCUGGACGCCCUCCUUCUCCGUCUUCCGCCUCUCUCUCUCUGAUUAGUUCCUAUCCAGCAGCAGAUUGAAGCAGGAGAUGAUUCUUCUCAAGGUUUGUUCAGCAGCUUCACUUCUAGGCGAAGGCUUCAUGAACCAAGUGACGUCAACCAACAAGGCUUCUCUCUCUCUCCUCUCUCUAACAAUGAAAGUUGCUGUUAACAAGGGAAAAAAGAGAGAGAAUUGUUUAUACCAUUUCAGUUCCAAUAAUAAAUGACCCAUCAGCUCUUAAAGUAGCCAGGGAGGGAGGGGGUGGCUUCUUCCUCCCAAGAAUCCUGUAGCUUUGAGUUUGCACCGAUUCUUGUUCCAGGAAAAAGUUAAGGAACUCUAAUGUUUUGUUUUACUUUUAAAAGUAGAGAAGACAGAAAAUAGGAUUGAAAACGUAAUUAAAAAAAAAAAAAAGUACACGGGCAAAUAGGGAGAGUAGAUUAACCAUGUCCACCUAAACUUUGUCUGUAAACUCAGAAUUUGGUUAAAAUCUAAAAGUCAACUAAAUGUAAUAUGUUUGGAACUCAAAAAGCAGUACGCAAAAUGGUCCCAGGAUAAAAUGCUACUGCCCUAACCCGGGCAGGUUAAGCUACUGUAAUGUUUAUGCACUGAGUUAAAAUUUAAAUAAAACGUUAAAAUAAUAAGUCGUUUUAAAGUUAUACGUUAAAACUGCAAAAGGUAACCUCAAUAGUCCCCCCACACACACACUUCUGAGAAGGCAAAAAAGGUGGGAGAGGAUAGCUAAUUGUAGGAAUUAGAGUACUUAAAAAAUCAAGUUAAGACUAGGUAGCCUAUUGCUCCAUCUUUAAAUUACACACGAGGUAUACUAUUUGUCUGCCCCACAAUUUCUUCUAACUUCCUAUUUUUUACCCUUCCAUUUUCCUCCACCAAUUUCAACAUCCUGAAACCAAUAAAGUUAAACUAAAGGUGAAGUACACCCCAUUCCCUCCUACAGCACACCACCCUGUAGUUUCCUUAAAAAAAAUUUUUUUUAAAAAGGCCUUAUCCUUGGUAACGCUUUAUUACCAAAGAAGAUAAUUUUUUUUUUUCAUUGAGGUAGUGUUUUACCCCUGGAACACAUUAAAAGUCCCAAAAGUUCAUAUAACUAAAAACGGCAUAAUUUAAUUUUCAGGAUGAAGAGUAAGUGAAAGGCAACCUAUAGAAAAAUAAUUUGACCAUAUAUGUAUAUUUUGUACAUGCAUAUGUGGAUAAAUGUAUCUUAAAAGAUGCUAUUGUUUUAUGUUUCCUCUUCAGCUACUGGCUGUGAUUUUAAUUGUGCUGGAGGAUCUUCAUUAGUAUUAACACAUGGGGAGAUUUCACAAAGCUGCUUCAUUAGGGGGAAAAAAAAAAGCUUGGCAGACUAGGUCUUUUUGCAUGCACUGAGAAUGUCAGCCUUACCUCGGUCAUUUGUAACAUAAUAAGUGCAAGUACAAUGAUUGCAAUGCAGGAGCACUGGGGGAAGGGCAGAAAUACUGCCUGUCUAAUAGGGAUAUCUGAAAAGAAGGCUGCUCAUUACAUAGUAAAAUGUAUGCUAAAAAUUAGUGAAGAUGAUGUCUCAGGAGACUGAUGCUAAAUAAAUUAAUGUGCUGAUAUGUUUUUAAUUAUUAUUUUUGUAAUAGUUUAUUUCAUUCUCAGGAUUCACAUUGAGCAGCAAAGCUGUGCUAGCACUUAUUGAUUUUUUUUCCCUGCCACAUUCCCGGAAUACAGAUUUUAAUCAUUUCACUACACCACACUCAGUAAUUUCAUUAAAAACUGGAACCUUCCAUCCCCAGAAAAGCAUUUAAUUUCAAUGACAUACAAUUCUGGUCUUAGCAGAAAACUGUCUCCACAGUAAAAGCUGGCCUAAGGUUCAAAUGCAUAAUUUAAUCCUGAGUUUUCCAUGCUCUGCAUUCCUUUGAAGCUAUAAUUUGAGUAACUACCUAAUAACUGUAAUAAGGAUAAUAAUUUCCUUAUAAUAUAUUAUUAACUCAUAUUUAAUUAACUCAAAGGCCAAGUUCUGUACAUGUAUGACUGGGUCAACAGUUCCACAAUAUCAAAAUUUACUAAUAAUGUUAAAGAAAAAUACAGAUUCCAGUAUAAGUGUGGAAAGCUAGCAUUUAGAUAUUACUUUAGCAAAGUAACAUGUAAAAAAGUUGAUGCAUUUUAUAUAAUAGAGGUCAUUACUCAAAACAGUAUUUCUAUGUGUAAAUAAAAUAUUUUAAUAUUUCAACAAUCCAUUUCAGACAUUUUGUCUAAUCAUUAGCAUUACUGCUGAAAAUAUUCAAUUUCGAAAAGAUAAAAAGAAAUAGCUAGAUUCAAAUUGUUUCAAUUUUCAUAUAAGAAUUCUCUUAAAACAUUUCUUUGCAAAUAAAGUUGUGGCACUCUUGAAUAACUUAGAUAACUAAGAAUGUUUCUUUUACUUACUUAAAUACUUUUAAAAUAGACUGCAAAGCAUAAUUCAAAGUUUGGUUCCAAUAAAAUGCUGAAAUAAUAAUACUGGCUUUGAAGAUGGCACACUGGCUUUCCAGACAAUGUUUCAUAAGAAUAUGUAAUUUACAUUGCCUAGUUUUUACAAAAAAGCACCUGUGGGGAAAACUGUUUAACAUAAGAAAACUUAUUUAGUAAUUAAAAUUCUUAAUAUAUGCCUAAUCAAUAGAAAAAAUGGUACACAGAUAAUGAAAGUGGCUAACUUAAAAAAAAAAGUGACUAACUUACAUAUAUAUGUAUAAUUUCAAGUUGAAGCCAUAUAUGACACAAAGUUUUUUUCUCUUGGUUGAAUAAUGAAGUAACUUAAAAUUAAGAGUAUCAUCAAAGGUUGGAAUAAAGGGUAAAUGUGGUAAUAAUAAAGAAUUUGAUUUUGGUGUGUUUAUAAAAAC